UCUUUUCAAUUUCCACCCUACUUUACACCUCAUACCUAACUACCAAAUUUUCUAUACCCACUUUACUUACAAUAUAUUACAGUAAACAUCCAACCCCAAUUCCUAAUUUUCUUUACACCCAUACAGAACACCCAAAAUAUGCUCUUCUCCCUUUCCUUCUUCCCAAAACACAAAAGUCAAAAUCAAGAACCCUAAGUUCUUCAUCCAAAUGACAUUGCCUAUAUCUAUCUCUUUCUCCAUAUUUGAAAAAAUUACAAACCUCGAGCCUCAAUUGUUGACUUUUGUUUAGAAAACCCUCAUUCAAAUCUAAUCUGGAUCAGAAGAUAUCAGAUUGAAUUCGGAUUUUUGGGAUGAUAUACAGGUCUUGGAAGGCAAAAACGUAGGUAUAAAAGGACUGGUAUAUAGCUAGUAUACAUGAGAUAUACAACAGGUAUACAAAGUGAAGAAAUGGGCCAAAGGCCCAAAAACGUGGAAGCGAUCCAAUUAGCUGGGCAAUGAGGAUUUGGGCCAAGAAUAGCCUAAUUCCAUUAUUUCCUCAAAAAGGGACAUGGCCAAAGUCCAACAGGCAGCAACAGAAGGCCUAAAAAGUCAGUCCAGACGUACAGAACCCGAUUUUGGGCGCAAAAUAGUCCACUUUGAGCUUCUUGAAUUUGCUUUUUUAGUUCCAAGCUAUUAGAAAUUUAACAAUAUUCUCUCUCUCUCUCUCUAUGUUGAAUAUGUUUGUUGUUGUAUGUUUUUAAUGAUUACAAAUAAAAUAUGCUUGUAUUAAGUUGUAUGUCAA